rnacentral:rRNA from 1 species
GAUGAACGCUGGCGGCGUGCCUAAUACAUGCAAGUCGAGCGAACGGACGAGAAGCUUGCUUCUCUGAUGUUAGCGGCGGACGGGUGAGUAACACGUGGAUAACCUACCUAUAAGACUGGGAUAACUUCGGGAAACCGGAGCUAAUACCGGAUAAUAUUUUGAACCGCAUGGUUCAAGAGUGAAAGACGGUCUUGCUGUCACUUAUAGAUGGAUCCGCGCUGCAUUAGCUAGUUGGUAAGGUAACGGCUUACCAAGGCAACGAUGCAUAGCCGACCUGAGAGGGUGAUCGGCCACACUGGAACUGAGACACGGUCCAGACUCCUACGGGAGGCAGCAGUAGGGAAUCUUCCGCAAUGGGCGAAAGCCUGACGGAGCAACGCCGCGUGAGUGAUGAAGGUCUUCGGAUCGUAAAACUCUGUUAUUAGGGAAGAACAUAUGUGUAAGUAACUGUGCACGUCUUGACGGUACCUAAUCAGAAAGCCACGGCUAACUACGUG